rnacentral:rRNA from 1 species
AACGAACGCUGGCGGCAUGCCUAACACAUGCAAGUCGAACGAGACCUUCGGGUCUAGUGGCGCACGGGUGCGUAACGCGUGGGAACCUGCACUUAGGUUCGGAAUAACUCCCCGAAAGGGGUGCUAAUACCGGAUAAUGUCUUCGGACCAAAGAUUUAUCGCCUUUGGAUGGGCACGCGUUGGAUUAGCUAGUUGGUAGGGUAAAAGCCUACCAAGGCGACGAUCCAUAGCUGGUCUGAGAGGAUGAUCAGCCACACUGGGACUGAGACACGGCCCAGACUCCUACGGGAGGCAGCAGUGGGGAAUAUUGGACCAUGGGCGAAAGCCUGAUCCAGCAAUGACGCGUGAGCGAUGAAGGCCUUAGGGUUGUAAAGCUCUUUUACCCGGGAUGAUAAUGACAGUACCGGGAGAAUAAGCCCCGGCUAACUCCGUG